UACGUAGGUGGCAAGCGUUGUCCGGAAUUAUUGGGCGUAAAGCGCGCGCAGGCGGCCACUUAAGUCUGAUGUGAAACCCCCAGGCUCAACCGGGGAGGGCCAUUUGAAACUGUGAGGCUUGAGUAUAGGAGAGGAAAGUGGAAUUCCAAGUGUAGCGGUGAAAUGCGUAGAGAUGUGGAGGAACACCAGUGGCGAAGGCGACUCUUUGGCCUAUAACUGACGCUGAGGCGCGAAAGCGUGGGGAGCAAACAGG
rnacentral:misc_RNA from 1 species